UACUUAUAUAGUAUAAAAAUUAUUUUUGACUUCCAAUCAAAAGAUCUAUAAAAUAGUAUAAGUAA
rnacentral:tRNA from 1 species